UAUUUGAGGAUGUAAAGAGUAUUGAAGAACGCGUGGGUGUUCUUGAUGAAAAUCUAUUCUCUGUUCUCCAAGAUAUAAGAGUAAAGGUUGGUGGACAGCCAUGGAGUUUACAGCAGCAGACCUGGAAUAUACUAUGCCCUGCUCUACUACAUCUAGCAGAUAUAUGGUCUGCACUGCAGGAUGAAAUGAUUCUCCUCUCUAAGCUGAAUUCUGUUGCUCAGGGAUUGCAAGAAUUUACAAAAUGUGUGGACUGUCUUCCACUUAAUAAACUCAAACCAAUAAUACAGAGUGUGAAUUUACUGACUGACGAGGAAAGGCUGAGUGUCCAUUAUCCAGAGCAUCGACUGUCAGAAAAUCUAGGAAUAAACAUUUUUAAUUUAAACGAUGAUUUAGAUUAAAUGGUAGAAACAUUAUCAGAAUCACA